GACGAACGCUGGCGGCGUGCUUAACACAUGCAAGUCGAACGAUGAAGCCUAGCUUGCUAGGUGGAUUAGUGGCGAACGGGUGAGUAAUACGUGAGUAACCUACCUUUAACUCUGGGAUAAGCCUGGGAAACUGGGUCUAAUACCGGAUACUACCAAUCUCCGCAUGGGGUGUUGGUGGAAAGCGUUAUGUAGUGGUUAUAGAUGGGCUCACGGCCUAUCAGCUUGUUGGUGAGGUAACGGCUCACCUAGGCGACGACGGGUAGCCGGCCUGACAGGGUGACCGGCCACACUGGGACUGAGACACGGCCCAGACUCCUACGGGAGGCAGCAGUGGGGAAUAUUGCACACUGGGCGCAAGCCUGAUGCAUCGACGCCGCGUGAGGGAUGACAGCCUUCGGGUUGUAAACCUCUGUUAGCAUGGAAGAAGAGAGAUUGACGGUACCUGCGGAGAACGCGCCGGCUAUCUACUUGCCAGCAGCCGCGGUAAUACACACGGCGCGAGCGCUGUCCAGAAUUAUGGGGCCGAAAGAGCUUGUAGGCGGUUUGUCGCGUCUGCUGUGAAGGCCGGAGCUUAACUCCGUGUAUUGCAGUGGGUACGGGCAGACUAGAGUGCAGUAGGGGAGACUGGAAUUCCUGGUGUAGCGGUGGAAUGCGCAGAUAUCAGGAGGAACACCGAUGGCGAAGGCAGGUCUCUGGGCUGUAACUGACGCUGAGAAGCGAAAGCAUGGGGAGCGAACAGGAUUAGAUACCCUGGUAGUCCAUGCCGUAAACGUUGGGCACUAGGUGUGGGGAACAUUCCACGUUUUCCGCGCCGUAGCUAACGCAUUAAGUGCCCCGCCUGGGGAGUACGGCCGCAAGGCUAAAACUCAAAGAAAUUGACGGGGGCCCGCACAAGCGGCGGAGCAUGCGGAUUAAUUCGAUGCAACGCGAAGAACCUUACCAAGGCUUGACAUAUACUGGAUCGCAUCAGAGAUGGUGUUUCCCUUCGGGGCUGGUAUACAGGUGGUGCAUGGUUGUCGUCAGCUCGUGUCGUGAGAUGUUGGGUUAAGUCCCGCAACGAGCGCAACCCUCGUUCUAUGUUGCCAGCACGUUAUGGUGGGGACUCAUAGGAGACUGCCGGGGUCAACUCGGAGGAAGGUGGGGAUGACGUCAAAUCAUCAUGCCCCUUAUGUCUUGGGCUUCACGCAUGCUACAAUGGCCGGUACAGAGGGUUGCGAUACUGUGAGGUGGAGCUAAUCCCUAAAAGCCGGUCUCAGUUCGGAUUGGGGUCUGCAACUCGACCCCAUGAAGUCGGAGUCGCUAGUAAUCGCAGAUCAGCAACGCUGCGGUGAAUACGUUCCCGGGCCU
rnacentral:rRNA from 1 species